GUUUGACAAAGGUUUCCUUAUUUGGCAUCAGAACUUUACUUUGUUUCAAGAAUGAUUUGACAUUCCUUUGUAUCAGUCAUUUUAAUCAUAGAAUCAUAGAUUUGAGUGAAAUCAUCAUUUGAGUCAAGCAAAAUUUGUAUGUAUGAUAUGUUAUUCUGGAGAUAACCAGACAUUUUUACAAAUAAGUUAUUGUAAAAAAAACCCACAAACAAACAAACAAAAAACAACACUUACAAAUGUGUGAUUUUAUGAUUUAAUCCACUCAUUAAUCAGGAACACUUGCUAUCAAUCUGUUUUAUUUUAAUUGCAUCUGUAUACACAUUUGAUUUUAUGGGGUUUUGUUCAACUGUACCAUUAAUAUAGUUACAUAGAACACAUAUAUUGGAUUUUCUAAUUGCAUUUUCUUACCCAGUCAUGAUGGUUCAGGAGCUGCCAGUAUGCCAGGUGUAGAUAAUAAUGACAAUUUGGUGUGUUAUUGGGUGGUGAUCUGUGCAAAUUAGAUCACUAUGUUAACUACAAAGCCAAACAUAAAUAUCAAAAGCAGUAAUAGAAAGAAAGAAGUCUCUUAAAAAAUACCGAACAAGUAAAGUCAGAAUCAAGCAGUCAAAUGAACAAAUAAGGCAUCUAUGGAGAGAAGAAUAGUCCCACAGCACAGUUCGGAUGUAGGAGAAGCAAUAGCAUUCUUUGACUCGGUUAUUGCAGAUCUGGAUUCAGAGAGAUGGCGGAGAGUUCCUGACACAGAUCGGCCAAAUGUGGAUGUUGAUUUUGAUGUUGCUACCAGCACAAGCGAACACAGUUUACAUUCAAACUGGAUCCUUCGUGCUCCCCGCAGGUACUCUCAAGAUACUGCCCAAACAGCCAAGGCUGCAAACCAGUCUCAGAGAAACAGCCAACGGAGAACCACUGGCUCUAGGAAGAGGUUGGAAAGGCAUCCCAUGUACUUGCCCAAAGCAGUGGAAGGAGCAUAUAACACGUUAAAAUUUAAGCCCAAAACACAUAAGAGAGAAUAUUGAAAGAAUAUUCCAUCUUCAGCUGAAGACAGAACACAUUAAAUGGAAGAAUUUUUUUUUUUUUUUUUAACUCCAGCCCAUCUCUUACACUCUAGAAGUGACAUGUGCAGUCACUGAAGGUUCUUUGUGUGGGAUGUACUUUAAGCCAUGGCAAUUCCAACGCUGGACUCAUUUGAGUGUUUAACUCAUCGAGUUCGUUGUGCCUAACAAUACUGCUUUGUCAUUCAGCUUGGGGGGGAACUCCAACCUGAAAAGCCUUUUUGUAGUGCUGUUAUUGAAAGCAAUGAUUCAGAGAUUGCCUGGUGCAGUAAUUUUUAUUCAGAUUCCAGUACUGCAAAGCAAUUCAGCUAAUACAUUGUGAGCUUUUGCACCAGUGUUUGCAUCUUCAGAGUGGGAAUACAGAGUUUUCUCCAUUUUUUGCAUGUGAAAGUCUGUAUGUGCCAUCAUUGACUCUGUGGUCUGAAAAUAUACAGCAGCACUGAGGUACAAGCAGGCUGUGGUACAAGCAGAAAAGGUUGCAGUGAAUCAGCAUUGGGAAUCUAAUGCUGCUUUGAGGAAUUGCUCCAGUGUGUUUUGAAAAAGAAAAAAAAAAAAAAAGAAAGAAAUGAAAGAAAUACCCAAAAUAUCUUGUACUCUGCUUGCUACUGGGAAUCGUUCUGUCCUUGGAUACAAUGCCAAGGGAUAGUAUGCAUGCAUAAAUGCAUGCAUAAAUGUGUACAACUUUUUUUCAUAUGAUAACACCACCUCUUAGUUUUCAUCUAUUUCAACACCCAGAUGAUGAACAAACCUUAUUCAAAUGUUAGGAAUCUAGACAUCCCAGUGAACAUGAAAAAAGCUUACUAUCUUGGAGAAGAACAGUUCGUGAACAAAUUGAAGAUGUUGUUCUCAAGGGCAGGAGACAAUUCACAGGCAAAUCCAUUGCAUCAUUAGAGUAUACCCAGUAUUUGGAUUUCUGCUAGCUCAUCAUUAAAGACUACAUAUUAGGAAGAACACAGUCUAAACGCGUUUUUCUUCAGGCUGUUUUACCUUAGAGGUGAUAUGUGUUAUAUGUGAUAUUUAGAAUUGUUAAUAACCGUACUCUGCCUAUUUUAUUGAUGUACAGCAAUGUAAAAAUGCAAAGAAUGUGACAAGAAGCUAAGACCCUGUGGAUGUACUAGCCUAUUGCCCUUCAGAGAGGGCAAUACCUCUCCAUACCUGAACACCUACCACAGGUGUCAACCUGAGCCACAACUCCUUUUUUUCUUAAGCUUUGCCUUAAGAAUUUGCUAAGAUGUUUGGGAUCAAGCCUUUGUUAACUUUUUCAUUUGAUGUUCAGUUGGUGGUUCACUGUGACAGAUGGAUCGUGGCAACACUUGUAUGUCUAGCUGGUGAUUUCCUCGUGAUUUCUUGUUUCUACAGUUGGUGGUUUUUGUGCCCACAGCCUUGGAUAAAUUGCCUGAGGCACUGGCCAUCCACAGCAUCUAUCUGAUAUAUCAUAACCAUCAUAAAACUUGUAACCACUACACAGAAUAUUUGGCGGGUGGCAAUUCUGCUGAUCCUGGUCCUUGUGACUCUGUUAUUCAACCAGCAUUUCUGCCACAAGGUGGAAGUACCUCUCUCAGAUCUCACUGAUCGAGGACACUUUUUGUCAUGAGAUAGGAGAGUGCCAAAAAAAAAUAAAUAUGUUCCUCUAUUUGCA
ensembl:lncRNA